AUUUCUUUUAAUGCUCUUUCACCUUUCUCACCAGUUUGUUUCACAAACUCAGCAUAGAAUGGUUUCAUCGCAUCUUUGAAUGGCGCUAAAUCCGGAUGGGUUACUUUUACACCUUGU
rnacentral:antisense_RNA from 1 species